UGGGCGGGAUCAUCACUGGACACGCGCAGAGAAGGCGGGGUCUGAAUUGAACAUGCGAAGGAAUGGCUUCUCGUCGGAACAAAACAAGGGCAUCUCCUGUCAUAUCGCGUGAAGAAGGAGCAGUGAUGCAACCAGUUUGAAGUGACUUUGGAGAAAUCGAACAAAAACUUUGCAAAGAAGAUUCAGCAGGUAAGGCAUCUGAUUUGGAAAAUAACUAAAAUGUGUGGGGAUUUAAUCUACUGUCAAUCACUUUAUAUCACGAUGGCUUCCAGUUCUGAUGCGCACCAAAUUUCAUGCAAAUUGUCAUUCAUUUGCCAAGAGCCCUCUGUGACCGUUGCAUUAGCUGGACAUCGUAGCACAAUUCUUGCUCUUCGUAAAUCUUUUAUGCUAGAGGUUGUUUACGAUUUUCAUAUUAACGCAAAA